CACACAGUAGGACCUCUCCCCUGUCAAUCAUUCUGGCAUUCUUGAUUAUUAGCAAGGGCUUCCUUGUCCACUGAUGCUGACGAGACACUUGUCCUUCUGGUCCAAUGAGACACUGCACGUGGGCACUGAACUUGACAUACCUGGCAUUGCGUCAGUGUCCAUGCACACUGUGAGUGAGAUGGUGAUGAUGGUGAAGGAGAAGGAAGAGGAGGAGAAGGACAAAGGGAUUGGUGGGGUGAGCUGUCAGUCACAGGUGACUUCCUGUUAUCCCUGGUAAGUUCACCUUUGCAAUUGUUCCUGCUGAAGACCUUUGAGGAACAUGAACCAGGUUAGACAAUAUGGAGGACUUGGCCAUUGGCCACCUGAGCCCACCAUCAUGGGAUGACCUCACACCUGUUGAAAGGAUUGAUGAGAUCACCUUCACUGCACCUUUGUUCCAGAAACCACUCCAACUCGAUAGAUAGCCAAGCGCACCCCCUAGCUCACUGAGAGGAUGAACAGCAGCGGGGGAAUUGUUGAAGCACAUGGACACAGAGACCAGGCCUGCAGGAUCCCUGAGCAGAAAAAAACAAUUAGGCCUCUGAGUGACCUUAACCUUGCUUAAUUGGCAAAUGUAAACAAAACUUAACUUGAGUCGUUUCUGGUAAAUACUUAAUGUUAGAUAGAAACAGUACCUAACCUCAGCCAAUCCUAGGCAGCCCAUGAACAGGAGAUCCUGUGACUUGGAAUUUCAACCAUGUAAAUAAACCAAAAGAAGGCAGUUUUGUAACUGUGGCCUCAAAUCAUUUUUAAUUCUCUUCUGUUUUUUCCCUCAUCAAUACUUGUCUGAGGCUUUUGUCAUCACAACCCUGAACUUUGGAUGGUCUGGAAUUUCCUAAUUUUGUCAUCACAACCCUGAACU